rnacentral:rRNA from 1 species
UACGUAGGCGGAAAUCUAAGUCAGUGGUGAAAUCCCGCAGCUCAACUGUGGAACUGUCAUUGAUACUGGUUUUCUUGAAUAUAGUUGAGGUAGGCGGAAUGUGUAAUGUAGCGGUGAAAUGCUUAGAUAUUACACAGAACACCGAUUGCGAAGGCAGCUUACUAAACUAUGAUUGACGCUGAGGUACGAAAGCGUGGGGAGCGAACAGGAUUAGAUACCCUGGUAGUCC